rnacentral:rRNA from 1 species
UACGGAGGGUGCAAGCGUUAUCCGGAUUCACUGGGUUUAAAGGGUGCGUAGGUGGGCAAGUAAGUCAGUGGUGAAAUCUCCGGGCUUAACCCGGAAACUGCCAUUGAUACUAUUUGUCUUGAAUACUGUGGAGGUCAGCGGAAUAUGUCAUGUAGCGGUGAAAUGCUUAGAUGUGACAUAGAACACCAAUUGCGAAGGCAGCUGGCUACACAAAUAUUGACACUGAGGCACGAAAGCGUGGGGAUCAAACAGG